rnacentral:snRNA from 1 species
GUGCUAGCUUUGACAGCACAUACACUAAAAUUGAAACAACACAAAGAAGAUUAGCAUGGCCCCUGUGCAAGGAUGACAUGCAAAUUUAUAAAGCAUUCCACAUUUUU